rnacentral:rRNA from 1 species
CCUACGGGAGGCAGCAGUGAGGAAUAUUGGUCAAUGGACGAGAGUCUGAACCAGCCAAGUAGCGUGAAGGAUGACUGCCCUAUGGGUUGUAAACUUCUUUUAUAUGGGAAUAAAAUGUUCCACGUGUGGGAUUUUGUAUGUACCAUAUGAAUAAGGAUCGGCUAACUCCGUGCCAGCAGCCGCGGUAAUACGGAGGAUCCGAGCGUUAUCCGGAGUUAUUGGGUUUAAAGGGAGCGUAGGUGGAUUGUUAAGUCAGUUGUGAAAGUUUGGGGCUCAACCGUAAAAUUGCAGGUGAAACUGGCAGUCUUGAGUACAGUAGAGGUGGGCGGAAUUCGUGGUGUAGCGGUGAAAUGCUUAGAUAUCACGAAGAACUCCGAUUGCGAAGGCAGUUCACUGGACUGAAACUGACACUGAGGCUCGAAAGUGUGGGUAUCAAACAGGAUUAGAUACCGUGUAGUC